UUGUCAUGAUUAAUUCAAGAAAAAUUGGAGAAAUGGCAUCCUGGCUAAGAGAAUUGCUAAAAAGUAAGAUAAAUGCAUUUACAUAGAUUAUAACUUCCUAAACUAUUGAGCACAUGUGUGUGUGUGUGUGUGUGUGUGUGUGUGUUCAAA